AUUGUACGCUGGCGGAAUGCUUUACACAUGCAAGUCGAACGGCAGCACGGGGCAACCUGGUGGCGAGUGGCGAACGGGUGAGUAAUACAUCGGAACGUGCCCAAUCGUGGGGGAUAACGUAGCGAAAGUUACGCUAAUACCGCAUACGAUCUACGGAUGAAAGAGGGGGAUCGCAAGACCUCGCGCGAAUGGAGCGGCCGAUGUCAGAUUAGGUAGUUGGUGGGGUAAAGGCUCACCAAGCCAACGAUCUGUAGCUGGUCUGAGAGGACGACCAGCCACACUGGGACUGAGACACGGCCCAGACUCCUACGGGAGGCAGCAGUGGGGAAUUUUGGACAAUGGGCGCAAGCCUGAUCCAGCCAUUCCGCGUGCAGGAUGAAGGCCUUCGGGCUGUAAACUGCUUUUGUACGGAACGAAACGGUUCUCUCUAAUACAGGGGGCUAAUGACGGUACCGUAAGAAUAAGCACCGGCUAACUACGUGCCAGCCGCCGCGGUAACAC
rnacentral:rRNA from 1 species